rnacentral:rRNA from 1 species
UACAUAGGGUGCAAGCGUUGUCCGGAAUUAUUGGGCGUAAAGAGCUCGUAGGCGGUUUGUUGCGUCGGCUGUGAAAUCCCGAGGCUCAACCUCGGGUCUGCAGUCGAUACGGGCAAACUGGAGUGUUGCAGGGGAGACUGGAAUUCCUGGUGUAGCGGUGAAAUGCGCAGAUAUCAGGAGGAACACCGGUGGCGAAGGCGGGUCUCUGGGCAACAACUGACGCUGAGGAGCGAAAGCGUGGGGAGCGAACAGG